rnacentral:rRNA from 1 species
UACAGAGGAUGCAAGCGUUGUCCGGAAUUAUUGGGCGUAAAGAGCUCGUAGGCGGUCUGUCGCGUCGGCUGUGAAAACUUGGGGCUCAACCCCAAGCCUGCAGUCGAUACGGGCAGACUAGAGUGCGGUAGGGGAGACUGGAAUUCCUGGUGUAGCGGUGAAAUGCGCAGAUAUCAGGAGGAACACCGGUGGCGAAGGCGGGUCUCUGGGCCGUAACUGACGCUGAGGAGCGAAAGCGUGGGGAGCGAACAGG